rnacentral:misc_RNA from 1 species
AAAUUCUCAAAGUAAAUCUUUUUGUUAAUUCAAUUGGUUUCACUUUGGAUUUGGAGGUCUAUUGCAGCUUCACACCUGCUCCUCUUUGUAUAUUAGCUGGAUCUCAGUGUUAUGCUUGGUUCCACUCGGCGUGAUAAGUUAUCUAUCGCUGAGGACACUUCUUUUUUUUUUCUAAAAAAAAAAUAAAGGUGGCCAAGGGAAAUGCAGAUGAACCGCUUCCAAUAGUCCAUUAACUUGGACAAAUAUAUUUAUG